rnacentral:misc_RNA from 1 species
CCGAGUUUUCAACUCCCAAACCCUGUGAACCGCUCCCGUUCCUGCCUCGGCGGGUGCCUCAGGGCUCCCGCCGGCGGUGGGCCGUCUAAACUCUUCUCCGCGGGCUUCUGAGUGUCGCUACGGAAUAAGUCA